GCUCCAAAGGUCAGCGGUAGACCAGCCUCUCUUGUUAUGCCUGAUUGAUGAAGAGUGAUCUGAGGUGACGCAGGUUCAACUCCUGCUUGGGGUA